GGAGUCUGGGCCGUAUCUCAGUCCCAAUGUGGCCGUUCAACCUCUCAGUCCGGCUACUGAUCGUUGCCUUGGUAGGCCGUUGCCCCACCAACUAGCUAAUCAGACGCAAGCUCAUCUGUUAGCGGAUUGCUCCUUUCCCACUGGAACCAUGUGGUUCUUAUGGCAUAUGCGGUAUUAGCAAUGAUUUCUCACUGUUAUUCCCCUCUAAUAGGUAGAUUGCUUACGCGUUACUCACCAGUCCGCCACUAACCGCUUCUCAAUAUAAAUAUUAAGAUUAAGUUCGUUCGACUUGCAUGUCUUAUGUGCGCCGCCAGCGUUUAUC
rnacentral:rRNA from 1 species